rnacentral:RNase_P_RNA from 1 species
GGGCCGGAUGGCCGCCUGCGGUCCGCCUUGCGCGGAUCGCCGGGAGGAAAGUCCGGACUCCACAAGGCAACGGUGCCGGGUAACGCCCGGCCGGGGCAACCCGAGGGAAAGCGCCACAGAAAACAGACCGCCCUGCAUUUCGCUUGCGCGAAACACACGGGUAAGGGUGAAACGGUGGGGUAAGAGCCCACCGCGGGACGGGCAACCGGACCGGCACGGCAAGCCCCACCGGGAGCAAUGCCGAAUAGGGAUCGCACAGGGGCCGCCUUGGCUCGCGAUCCGGGUAGGCAGCUAGAGCGUGCGGGCAACCGUACGCGCAGAUGAAUGGUCAUCCACGGGACGCGCCCUGCGCUCCCUGGACAAAAUCCGGCUUACAGGCCCUCC